CGAAAUCUGCACCAGGCGGUCGCUCACUCAUCUCGAAAGCCGUAUCAUCACCGCAGUUGGACUGGAGCCGUGCACGCGCUGCCGUGCGCCCAGUUUGGUUUAACUUCCUUCCUUU
rnacentral:lncRNA from 1 species